rnacentral:rRNA from 1 species
ACUCCUACGGGAGGCAGCAGUGGGGAAUAUUGCGCAAUGGGGGAAACCCUGACGCAGCGACGCCGCGUGCGGGAAGAAGGCCUUCGGGUCGUAAACCGCUGUCAGGAGGGAAGAAACUGUUGGAGUCGAAUAGGCUCUUUCACUGACGGUACCUCCAGAGGAAGCACCGGCUAACUCCGUGCCAGCAGCCGCGGUAAUACGGAGGGUGCGAGCGUUAAUCGGAAUCACUGGGCGUAAAGCGUACGUAGGUGGCAUGGUAAGUCAGACGUGAAAGCCCUCGGCUCAACCGAGGAAUUGCGUUUGAUACUGCUUUGCUAGAGUCUCGGAGAGGUUGGCGGAAUUCCAGGUGUAGGAGUGAAAUCCGUAGAUAUCUGGAGGAACACCAGUGGCGAAGGCGGCCAACUGGACGAGUACUGACACUGAGGUACGAAAGCGUGGGUAGCAAACAGGAUUAGAUACCCUGGUAGUCCACGCCGUAAACGAUGGAUAUUAGGUGUCGGGGGUAACCCUUCGGUGCCGUAGUUAACGCGUUAAAUAUCCCGCCUGGGGAGUACGGUCGCAAGGCUGAAACUGAAAGGAAUUGACGG